UAAUGCUUGGGAAUCUAGCUUAUGGGAGGGGGUAACUACGGGAAACUGUAGCUAAUACCGCGUAGAAUCGAGAGAUGAAAGUGUGGGACCUUCGGGCCACAUGCCAUAGGAUGAGCCCAAGUGGGAUUAGGUAGUUGGUGAGGUAAAGGCUCACCAAGCCGACGAUCUCUAGCUGGUCUGAGAGGAUGACCAGCCACACUGGGACUGAGACACGGCCCAG
rnacentral:rRNA from 1 species